GGUGUUGGAAGGAUCCCAUGCCGGGAUCCCCGAGAGGUGGCGUCGGGACCGUGUGCCUGGGCCGCCCUGCCCAGCAGCAGAGCAUGUCCCGCCUGGACUUGGAGGAGCUGGCCGAAAUAGAGCUGCAGAGAGAAGAAGAGGAAGCCGCUGCCCUGAGCAUAGUGAGAAGGCCAUUGGUGGCACCCGCGGCCGGCCAGCACCCUGUGCUGAUCACCCCUUCUACGACGUGGCCAGGCACGGCAUCCUGCAGGUGGCAGGAGCUGGAAUCUUGUCAAGGUGAUGAUGAAACAGAGGAACGGUUCUCAAUAGUUGGAGGCCCCCGAGACACAAAUGUAAGUAUUUUGGUGUCCACUCCGUGCAGAGGACCGAGGAGAGGAUGGGGAUUGGACAGGGGGCCGCCAUUUCAAUUCCCAGAUGUUCACUUUGGAGAACCGUUAAGGUUUAGGGAGCAGGGAUGGAUGCUGGACCCAUUGUGGGAGCACAGAUCAGGUGCCCACAAAAGGGAAGCAGGAAAUACAGUUAUUUUUUUUAAGAAUAAAAAAUACAUUAUCUAUGUUAAUAGGCAAUGGGUUAUUGUUAAAGAUUUUUAAAAUUUAUUUAAGAGAGGAAGAGAGAGGGGCGCCUGGGUGGCUCAGUCGUUAAGCGUCUGCCUUUGGCUCAGGGCAUGAUCCCGGAGCUCUGGGAUCUUCCGCUGGGAGCCUGCUUCUUCCUCUCCCACUCCCCCUGCUUGUGUUCCCUCUCUUGCUGGCUGUCUCUAUCUCUGUCGAAUGAAUAAAUAAAAUCUUAAAAAAAAAAAAGAGAGGAAGAGAGAGAGGGCACAUGUGUGAGCAGGGGGAGGAGCAGAGGGAGAGGGACAAGCAGACUCUGUGCAGAGCAUGGAGCCUGAUGUGGGGCCUGAUCCCACGACCCUGAGAUCAGGACCUGAGCCGAAAUCAAGAGUCAGAGGCUCAACUGACUGAGCCACCCAGGCGCCCCUACAAUGGCUU
rnacentral:tRNA from 1 species